AUGAACAUUGAAAAUACAAAAAGAACGUCGAUUUAAAUUGAACGGAUUAGAUAGUUUAGACAAUUGUUUAGUUGAGUUACCACGGCUUCCUCUAUUUUGAGCACAGCCGCCCUCUCCUAUGAUUAGACUGAUAAGAUUUAUUGUAGUUUACGCAUUUCCCUUUGAGUAAGAGUUUAGGAAUGGGGCACGUCCUACUUUAGGACACGUCCCACCUGCCUAUAAAUUAUAGUACCCAUUUAGCAAUCUUUAAGAGUUGAGCAGAGAAACCGAAGAGAGAAGAGUUGAGGUAAGAGCCAGAGAAGCAGAGUUAGAGAAGUCAGAGUAAAGUUUGAAGAGUUACAAGCUUACUUGGAGUUGUAUUUCUUUAAGCCCCGGAGACGAGAUCAGACUUAUCACCGCAUGUGUUCGAUAGUUGGACGAGUUGAUUGUAAUAAACGCUGUUAAAUCAA